GUACUUGCUUCGGCAGUACGUAUACUAAAAUUGGAAGGAUACAGAGAAGAUUAGCAUGGUCCCUGCGAAAGGAUGACACACAAAAUCGUGAAGCGUUCCACAUUUUG
rnacentral:snRNA from 1 species